rnacentral:rRNA from 1 species
GCAGAGCACUCCUAGGGAGGCAGCAGUGGGGAAUAUUGCACAAUGGGCGCAAGCCUGAUGCAGCCAUGCCGCGUGUAUGAAGAAGGCCUUCGGGUUGUAAAGUACUUUCAGCAGUGAGGAAGGUGGAUAUGUUAAUAGCAUAUUCAUUUGACGUUAGCUGCAGAAGAAGCACCGGCUAACUCCGUGCCAGCAGCCGCGGUAAUACGGAGGGUGCGAGCGUUAAUCGGAAUUACUGGGCGUAAAGCGCAUGCAGGUGGUUUGUUAAGUCAGAUGUGAAAAGCCCGGGGCUCAACCUCGGAAUUGCAUUUGAAAACUGGCAAAACUAGAGUACUGUAGAGGGGGUAGAAUUUCAGGUGUAGCGGUGAAAUGCGUAGAGAUCUGAAGGAAUACCGGUGGCGAAGGCGGCCCCCUGGACAGAUACUGACACUCAGAUGCGAAAGCGUGGGGAGCAAACAGGAUUAGAUACCCUGGUAG